GACGUAGGGCGCGAGCGUUGUCCGGAUUUAUUGGGCGUAAAGAGCUCGUAGGCGGUGUGUCGCGUCGGCCGUGAAAACCUGCAGCUUAACUGUGGGCGUGCGGUCGAUACGGGCAUCACUGGAGUUCGGUAGGGGAGACUGGAAUUCCUGGUGUAGCGGUGAAAUGCGCAGAUAUCAGGAGGAACACCGAUGGCGAAGGCAGGUCUCUGGGCCGAUACUGACGCUGAGGAGCGAAGACGUGGGGAGCGAACAGG
rnacentral:rRNA from 1 species